AUUUAGGACAAUGGGGGAAACCCUGAUCCAGACAUGCCGCGUGCAGGAUAAAGGACUUCGGGUUGUAAACUGCUUUCGUACGGAACGAAAAGCCUUGGGCUAAUACCCUGGGAUCAUGACGGUACCGUAUUAAUAAUCACUGGCUAACCACGUGCCAGCAGCCGCGGUAAUACGGAGGGUGCAAGCGUUAAUCGGAAUUACUGGGCGUAAAGCGUGCGCAGGCGGUUUUGUAAGACAGUGGUGAAAUCCCCGGGCUCAACCUGGGAACUGCCAUUGUGACUGCAAGGCUGGAGUGCGGCAGAGGGGGAUGGAAUUCCGCGUGUAGCAGUGAAAUGCGUAGAUAUGCGGAGGAACACCGAUGGCGAAGGCAAUCCCCUGGGCCUGCACUGACGCUCAUGCACGAAAGCGUGGGGAGCAAACAGG
rnacentral:rRNA from 1 species